AACGAACGCUGGCGGCAGGCCUAAAACAUGCAAGUCGAACGAUGUAGCAAUACAUAGUGGCGCACGGGUGCGUAACGCGUGGGAAUAUGCCCUUCACUACGGAACAACGUCUGGAAACGGACGCUAAUACCGUAUAAUGACUCCGGUCCAAAGAUUUAUCGGUGAAGGAUUAGCCCGCGUCUGAUUAGGUAGUUGGUGAGGUAAUGGCUCACCAAGCCGACUAUCAGUAGCUGGUCUGAGAGGAUGAUCAGCCACACUGGGACUGAGACACGGCUCAGACUGCUACGGGAGGCAGCAGUGAGGAAUAUUGGACAAUGGGGGAACCCCUGCUCCAGCCAUGCCGCGUGUGUGAAGAAGGCCUUAGGGUUGUAAAACACUUUCGGCUGUGAAGAUAAUGACAGUAGCAGAAGAAGAAGCUCCGGCUAAAUUCGUGCCAGCCGCCGCCGUAA
rnacentral:rRNA from 1 species